ACCUCUAGCAUCAAAAGUAUUAGAGGCACUGCCUGCCCAGUGACUUAAGUUUAACGGCCGCGGUAUCCUGACCGUGCAAAGGUAGCAUAAUCACUUGUUCUUUAAUUAAGGACUUGAAUGAAUGGCCACACGAGGGUUCAACUGUCUCUUACUUACAAUCAGUGAAAUUGACCUCUUCGUGAAGAGGCGAAGAUGGACUAGCAAGACGAGAAGACCCUAUGGAGCUUAAAUUUACUACCCAACCUGCGCCCUACACCCCCAAACAGGUCCCCAACACCCGCACUUAUGGGUACACAAUUUUGGUUGGGGUGACCUCGGAGCACAAAACAACCUCCGAACUAUUCAUGCCUAGACACAACCAGUCAAAGCCCCUUAUAAGCAUAUUGACCCAAAAAUUGACCAACGGAACAAGUUACCCUAGGGAUAACAGCGCAAUCCUGUUCAAGAGUCCAUAUCGACAGCAGGGUUUACGACCUCGAUGUUGGAUCAGGACAUCCAAAUGGUGUAACCGCUAUUAAC
rnacentral:rRNA from 1 species